rnacentral:snoRNA from 1 species
AUCUCGUGGUGAGCGCAUCUACGAAGUAACUUCUUGAAUCUUUCCCAUGCCUCGUAUAAGGAUUCAUCAUCCAAUUGUUGAAAAGUGGUGAUAUCAUCCUGCAACU